AUAGUUCAUCCCCUCAAAAGGAAGUAAAGGUAAGCCUUCUUUUCCCACAGGCAGACACAUACAGAAUGUGCCCAGGAUAUAGAUCCGGGCUCUGUUCUGAAGAUGACUGUACCAAGCUACGUGGCUGGUGGUAAAUGUGUAUUCCAGACAACGACUUGGGGAAAAUGAAGGUCAAAUACAGAAAUACCCCAAAUGUAUUAAUCAGCCAAGAGGGAGAAUACAGGCAUAUCAUUAGCGGCUUAAGAUUUCUAAAAGUUUGCAUAAGAAAAGUAAAGAAUUUUGAGCUGGUAGGGCUUUUUGGUAGACCUCAGUUUGAUUGAAGCAUUUCACCUCCUCCGGGACCCUGCCUGAGGUAAGCCCUCCCCUCUGCUGCAGGGUUUGCUACCCCAGCAUACCCAUAAUACUUCUCUGCUUAUCAUUUUAGCACCUGUGAGCUUUUAAAUUGACCACUGAGGGCUUCCUCUAGCCUGAUGGGGGUGAGGUAGGGGAAAGUAGUGUGUUUGGAGAACAGCAGAGAAAAAUAACACGUUUUUCUUCAUGAGGUUCGGAAAGCUCCAUUUUCCCUGGGAAGCAUGGUGGCGGAGAGCCGUGCUGGAGCCUGUGUACGCAUGGCAGGCAGGGACACAAGCACUGGGGACAUGGUGGCAGCAUGGGGCAGCCUGCUGGGCCUCCCAGCCCAGCGUGGGGUGCCGCUCCGCAUCCGCCCCAGGGUACUUUGGAGCAAGCGUGAGAAACGCCACCAAAAUGGGAAUCUUAACCAUCGACCCUUACUACUUCUACAGAAACCUUCUCCUUUGUAUGGGACGACAUACAUUCUAGUUCAAAGCAGCCUCUCCCCCCCAGAUUGUUAACGUAUAUACCCGUAUUGUAAGCUGGACUUCAUGGCUUGAACUGAUUUCUAGCCAAAAGACUAUGCUCAAAGUAAAUGGAUAAAUCCAGGGAGUGCGUGUUUGUGUCACAGCUCCAAGAGGCGCAGUGGGGGUGUCCCUGGUCUCCAUCAGUACCAUGGACUGGGUUAUCAUGAGAAAUGACAUAAACUUUCUUUGAAGAUUUUUUGAUCUCAAGAAACUUGUUACUCGUUUCCCCAAGCCCUAUCCUGCUUUAUGUUUUCUGGCCGCCUGAUGGAUAAGUCGCAGUUGCUUAAUGACAUAAAACUAAUUUCUUCUAAAACAUUCCUGAUGAAUUGGUCUCAAAAUUUCUAUAAACACUUAUUCUAGAGAGGAACUAUACGUUUUGGAGUAUGCAGCAUCCCCCCUCUGUAAAAUAGACAGAUCUUUCCACUGCAUUGUGUUUUAGUCACCGUUUUUGGAUACCCUUUAUCAAAAGAGCCAUUAACGAGACUUUCCAAUUCUCUUUCUGUGGGCACAUAAUACACUCUAUGUCUUUAAUUAGCACCUUCAUUCCUCUCCCCCUUCCCCCUCUCCCAGGAAAAAGCCAAACCUUCUUCGCUACCAAAAUGGCCUGUCAAAACCUGACAACUGAAGUUCUGCCUUGUCAAUAUAAAAUUGUCUGUACCACUCUGUGUGCUGAAUAUUUGGGAUUGGUGCAAAAUAACGCACCAGCUGCAUUGUCUGUUUUCGUACUUUAUUCCAUUUCUGCUUAAUUUUGUCAGGGCUACUGAAGGAUUUCUGUAUUUUCCUGAGCUUUUGCUUUAGAAGACAGAUCGUGUUUCCUAAGGGACUCUGUGGAGUAUUGGUCUCUGUGGAUGCAUAUAUGAAAAUUGUACUUGUGUAUCCAUUUCUAUACGCUUUCCUGUGUACAUUACUAAUUCAGAGGCACUGAGAACUUCUCUGUCAAAUGAUAUGUGAAUUCAAGCAUUGUUUUCCCCUCAGAAAAGGGAUUUUACUGGGAAUGCUGGCAGGCCCCUCACAACAGAAGGACGGGUGGGUGCUGCUACUGUAUAUAUCUGUUGUUGUCACAUUGGAUUUCGUGCAAUAAAAAUAAAACCCUUGGUCA
rnacentral:lncRNA from 1 species